rnacentral:lncRNA from 1 species
GCUGGAUCCAAACCAAAAACAUAACAAAACUCGAAGGGAUUUGAGAAAUACCUUGACAGGGUCUUUGCUAAAAAUUUCAGCCUUUGAAGAUCUUCAACUUCUGGAGUUUUCUUCUUUCUCCACACAAUCCGUGCUCUGAUACCAAUUAUUGGAGCAACUUUUUCAAGUUGUGGAUAUCAGGAAACAGUAAGGAUCAGAUUGUGGAGGUCUUUGAAGGCCAACAACCAAG